GAUGAACGCUGGCGGCGUGCCUAAUACAUGCAAGUCGAGCGAACAGACGAGGAGCUUGCUCCUCUGACGUUAGCGGCGGACGGGUGAGUAACACGUGGAUAACCUACCUAUAAGACUGGGAUAAAUUCGGGAAACCGGAGCUAAUACCGGAUAAUAUAUUGAACCGCAUGGUUCAAUAGUGAAAGACGGUUUUGCUGUCACUUAUAGAUGGAUCCGCGCCGCAUUAGCUAGUUGGUAAGGUAACGGCUUACCAAGGCAACGAUGCGUAGCCGACCUGAGAGGUGGAUCGGCCACACUGGAACUGAGACACGGUCCAGACUCCUACGGGAGGCAGCAGUAGGGAAUCUUCCGCAAUGGGCGAAAGCCUGACGGAGCAACGCCGCGUGAGUGAUGAAGGUCUUCGGAUCGUAAAACUCUGUUAUUAGGGAAGAACAAAUGUGUAAGUAACUAUGCACGUCUUGACGGUACCUAAUCAGAAAGCCACGGCUAACUACGUG
rnacentral:rRNA from 1 species